ACAUCACUUGGAAUUCCUCCAUCUCUAAAUUCUUUAAAUUCUGCUUUUAAAUCAUAGUCUUCUACACCCCUCUCUCUUGCCUUCCAAAUGUAGACUCAUCCAUUCUCCUAGAUAACAUAUUCACUCUCCUCAAAUCUCCAACACCUCUUCCUCCUUCCUCACUCUCUAUCUGUUGACCUUGCUUCCUCUUUCAGGAAGAUAACAGAAAGAGCUAGAAGGGAAACUCCUUACUCCUAAGACCAGAGUGAGGACUUACCCACAUCUGUGCUCAUGUACUUCCUUCCUGAUAGGAUGAACAAUGGACAAACAUUCCAAGCCCCUAUUUAGAGCCGGCCCCAUUCUGUGCCAGAGAGCCUGACUUCUGUCACUUUCUGAAGUCAUUGCUCCAGCCGUUAUUUUCAUUUUCUCCUGCAACACCAGGAGAUAGAGCUUACAAACAUGCUGUAGUUUCUCUCAUUUAAAAACCUUUUUUUUUUUUUUUGCUUUUUAGAGCCACACUUGUAGCAUAUGGAAAUUCCCAGGCUAGGGUUGAAUUGGAGCUGUAGCCACUGGCUUAUGCCACAGCCACAGCAACACAGGAUCCAAGCCACGUCUGUGACCUACAGCACAGCUCACAGCAAUACCGGAUCCCCAACCCACUGAGCAAGGCCAGAGGUCGAACCUGUAUCCUCAUGGAUACUAGUCAGAUUUGUUUCCACUGUGCCACAACAGGAAUUCCCAUGCAAACCUUUCUUGACACUGCAUCUCCUUCAUGCCACUGUCCUAUUUCUUUGCUCACCUGUUUUACAGCAAAACUCUCAAACAUCAGAGACCAGUGACUUUCAGUCUAGACAAAAUGGUGUACACCCAUUUCUCUGCUCCUCCCUGCUGAUUACAACUAUAUACCUGAAAAUCAUUCACAAGACAAUCAGAAAAUUGUAAGGUUCUCUGAAGAACUUAUUUGGGCCUUGAGGACUGGAAGGACAACACAGCAGCAGGGCAAGUUGGAUCUCCCCACAUAACAGACCAAGGCGAUCCAGACUAGGCAUUUCCCCAACACUAACCCAGGGACAGUGGCAGCCCAUCUGGCCUAUUCCUCCCCUGAAGUGAAGGGACUAAAAAGUCCAGCUGAAAACAUCAGGCAAACUAAUAAGGGUGAUUGAUCAGGAGCACCAACUACCAGUAAGCAGCCAGAGGAAACACGCCCCUUCCCUCCAUUUUUCCUAUCUAAUCCUUAAAACUUUACCUCUGAAUGUUUCUAGCUUCAUGUCCCCCUCAGUCCCUAUCCAUGUGGCCACUGUAGAGAAGAUAUCCUUGGUGACUAAGUGAAAUGACUACAGAUUUAAGUGAAGGGGAUGGAUGUGACUGGCAAGAGAGAGUGGACAGAGUGGAAAGGGAGGAGGGAGAAUAUUUGGUCUGAGACAGUCUAACAUGUAGUGGUGAAGUACCCUACAAAAGGCUUAUGGGGACCACAGAAGCUGGAAAAGAGUUGAGAGAGUGUAGGAAAGAGAUGAAUAAGAAAAGGUAAUCAAAUUUUGCUGAGGCUGCAAGAAGGAUGCAGACUGAGUGAAAGGAGGACUAAAAGAAUAAGAUAGUCUAGCAAUAGUGUCCACUAAAUAGUGCAGUCCACUAAACAAUGUACUAAAUAGUGUCCACUAAACAGUAGGCAUAGAAACAAGACUGAAAAAAAAGAAAGAAACAAGACUGGAGAGGGUUGAGAAGUGGUUGGGAUGAGAGGAAAGAGUGAAUAAAUGGGGAUUAUUUCCAUUAAAAUAAGAAGGGGAUACAGCAGAUGAGAAAAUGGGAUGAGAAUCUUCCACAGUGGUAAUAAUUUGAACAUCCUUAAAUGGUAAGGAAGUGAAGUCAGUAGAGAGGGAUUGGUUUACAAUAAAUAUAAUUUAUAAAUUCAUUAAUUUAAAAUUCCUGAGAGGCUGGAGAGACUACAACCCAAACUCACUUAAUUUUUUUUAUUUUUUAAUUUUUUGUCUUUUUGCCUUUUCUAGGGCCGCUCCCACAGCAUAUGGAGGUUCCCAGGCUAGGGGUUUGAUCAGAGCUGUAGCCACUGGCCUACGCCAGAACCAUAGCAACGUGGGAUCCGAGCCAUGUCUGUGACCUACACCACAGCUCACGGCAACGCCAGAUCCUUAACCCACUGAGCAAGGCCAGGGGUCAAACCCGCAACCUCAUGUUCCUAGUUGGAUUCUUUAACCACUGUGCCAUGACGGGAACUCCCAAACUCACUUUAGAGGUAAAGGACAGUCCUGGAAUUAGAGAGGACUUGAUCCUCCACUAUAGGAGAGAGGCACAAACAACUGGUGUGGCUCAGGAGUGAUUGCAUGUUUCACAGUGAGGAUGUUAGAUCUUUUUUCAACAGUAUCUAUUUCAUUUGUCAAACAGAAGUCAAAGCCAGUUGUUGAAAGUGAGGGGAAAGUUGAAGUUGGGUGAGAUUCAUAAGGUUUGAGAGAAUACUGAUGGAAUAUGGGAAAGGGCAUUGACUCGCAAGAUUACCAGGCAUUGCUGAGGGUAAAUUAAGAAUUCCGUGGCCCUGUAUUUAGAGUAUGAGCCACAUACCUUGUCAUGUCUUAUGCUGAGUUGCAGCCAUGACAUACAAAGUUGGUGGAAUCAUCCAAGAUUAGGGAUUUCAUGGGCAGUUUUGGUGAAGGAUCAAAGGGACAAGGACUGUUUAGUCUUGACAAGUAAAUAGCUGAAACAAUCAUCCAUGGAUUAAACUGAACACAAAAAAUGAAACGGGCAAGUUCCUUUUGUGGCUCAACAGGUUAAGGACCUGACAUGGUCUCUCUCCUUCCUAGGAAAGGGGUUGAAAUCAGGCCUAUGAUCUUUGCAAUGUUAGGCUUCAGGUGUUGUGAGACUUUCACAGUAAAGGGAUGAGGGAGGAGAUGGGAUGGGCAGAUAUACUCCCAGGAUGGUUGGGAUUCACAGAAUUUCCUUCACAGGGAGGAACAGAUGGCUUCUCCCUUGAGUGUAUCCUCUGAUAUGGCUGACCGCUGAGUUGUUGCUAAAGUCACACCCUCACUCCUUGCACACCUAAGGUUUUUCCCUCUGUGUGUUCUCUGGUGAGGGCUGACUUGUGGCUAAAGCCUGACCCAUACUCCCUGCAUGCAUAAGGCUUCUCCCCAAGUGUGUACUUUGGUGGUUGUGGAACAGUGACUUAUCUAUAAAGCCUCUCCCACACUCCCCACACACAUAAGGCUUUUUCCCUGUAUGUGUCCUCUGAUGUCUGAUAAGACUUCCUGCUGCAGCUUCACUCACAUUCUCUGAGCACAGAUUUUGCCCCUAUGACAGCCCUGUGUCUAAAGAGCUAAAAUCUAGUCCACACUCUCCAAACUUCACUGCUCCAAAUCUGGAAAUUUCUACCUGCUCAGGAAUGUUGUCUUGUUCCCUGGAGCUUACCGUCUGGGCUUGACUGAGCUGUGUCUUUAACACUUGGUUGCCUCCCUGAGAGCUUACUGGUGGUCCUUGGGGUGGGCUAAAGAAAACCACUGAAGUCCCCCUCUCAUUUGUACUUCAGAACAAUGGAGUAGAGAUCUCCAUUCCUUGAUCUUCUGUUUUGACCACCCAGUGGUUUUUAUUAGAAUAUUGUUGUUGCUUCAGGUCAUCUGGGCUAGGAUCCUCUGGGCGAAGUUGAUUUCCUGCACAUGAUUCUGGAAUAGGAUGAUUGUGCAGUGCAUAAUGGCUGAGAAAGAGUUGACUGCCAAAGGCCAGAGGGCAGAAGAGCCAAGGAUGGACUUCUGGGUUUGAAUCUGCUGAAGAAAGUAAGUUUUCAGUCAAAGUAGUCAUAGGAAGCGUUGCCUGGGCUUUUCUUCCUUGUCUUAUGGUAAGAUCCAGCUCAUUAAUCAUUCACAACCAUUAAUAUCUGUCCUCCCAAGACAUGCUUUCCCAGACCUAUUUUUCCAUUCAAAUUCUUUUGACUUUUUAUUUGGAAAUAAUUUCAAAUGUACAGAAAAGUUGCAAGAAUAAUACAAAAGACACCUGUAUACCCUUCACCCAAAUUACCUACUGCUAACAUUUGCGUGUUACAUAUGUAUGUGUGUGUACAUGCAUAUGUAUAUGUACUUUUUUUGGACACAUCCAUGGCACAUUGAAGUUCCCAGGCCAGAGGUGGAAUCUGAGCCAGAGCUGCAACCUGUACCACCGCUUUGGCAGUGUUGGACCCUUAACUCCUGUAUGAGCAUUUUUUUCUUUGAACCACUUGAGUGUAAACUGCACAUAUCAUGCUCUUUACCCCUAAAUACUACAAUGUAUGUCUCAUAAAAGUAUGGCUAUUCUCUCAUAACCACAAUACAGUUAUCAACUUUGGUAAAAUUAAUAUUUACAUAAUACUUCUAUCAAACUAUCAUAUACAUUCCAAUUUUUGUCAGUUAUUUCAAUAAUGUCCUUUAUAGCAUUUUCCCUCUAGUACAGGAUUCAAUCUAUGAUCAGUUAUUAUAAUUAAUUCUCAUGCUCCUUUAGUUUUCUUUAGUGUCGCUCUCUUUUAUGAGACUCAUUUUUGAAGGAUGGAGUUCUUUUUUUUAGAAAAUAGUCCUCUCAUUCUAGAGUAUGUAUAGAAUGUUCCUGAUGUUUCCCUAUGAUUAGAUUCAGUUUUCACACUCAGUAUUUACAUAUUAUAUCUUUUACCUGAAUCCAAAAAAACGUACACCAGAACCUAUUCUACAUAUUAUCCCAAUAAGGAAUCUUACUGGUAAGAAUUGAAGGCAUCUUCAGCUUUGUAAAUAACUGCAAUUAUACUAAAAUUAUCUUCUAAACCAUAAACAGUUGCAUUGACACACACAGCUACAACCAUUUGGUUCCAACAAGAGAGAACAAUCUUUAUAACCUAUAUGGGAAUGUCCUUUGUGACUUUUGCUAUAAAAAGAAAGAACAGAUAGAUGUAGGGGUCACUCAGUCUGGAUGUCCCCAGUGCAGAAGGCAGUAGAGAAUAGUGGCUAAACAGAGCCCAUGUGAAAUGUCACUUGAGUUUCCCCAUUCAUUAACAUAUUUAUUAGAGGACUAUUAUGCUCUCAGUUUCUACUAGGAAGUGGAGAUUCAACAGUAGACAGUUGGGCACAACUGACUUAAAUGACAUUGGCUCUUGGUCCCCAAAUCACAGUCCAAGAUCUGCUCUCCACUGUUUUCCACAAAUCAUUGUAUACAGAAAUUCUACUUUCUGGCCGUAUUUACCUGAGAAAUCAAAAUUGAAUCACAACUGUUUUUAACCAGCUGAAGAUGAACUUUUUGUAAACCCAAGAGGCCAGAUUCUUUAUUGGUGCUACCUGAAGAAUUUUUCCUGAUUAAUAAGAGAAUUGUUUUAACCAAACAUGCACAGAUUCAUGGAUUUAUUCUAUCCUAUGCAGACUGCUAGUUAUGGUACAAAUGCCAUAAAACUGCCUUCUUGGAGUUCCUCGGCUCCAAGGAACUGGAUGGCUCAGCAGGUUGAGCUUCCAGUAUUGCCCUUGCUGUGGCUCUAGUUACAGCUGUGACACAGGCUCAAUCCCUGGCCAGGGGAACUUCUGCAUGCCACAGGAGUGGCUAAAAACAAACAAAAAAACCUGCUUUACUAGUACUUAAACAUCCCUCACAUUUCUCACCCUGUGAGCCAUUUAGUAAAAUUUGUUUUUACUGCUUUAUGCUUUUGUUGGACAGUUAAAUAAACUCAAUUUUUU
rnacentral:lncRNA from 1 species